UACGUAGGGUGCAAGCGUUGUCCGGAAUUAUUGGGCGUAAAGAGCUCGUAGGCGGUUUGUCGCGUCUGCUGUGAAAACUCAGGGCUUAACCCUGAGCCUGCAGUGGGUACGGGGAGACUAGAGUGUGGUAGGAGAGUGGAAUUCCUGGUGUAGCGGUGAAAUGCGCAGAUAUCAGGAAGAACACCCGUGGCGAAAGCGGCUCUCUGGAACGGUACUGACGCUGAGACGCGAAAGCGUGGGGAGCGAACAGG
rnacentral:rRNA from 1 species